rnacentral:lncRNA from 1 species
GAAGAACUCAUGUGAAGAGAUGCCAUUUGAGGAAGCUACUUAAAGAAGAUCAUAAAAUUUCCCAAGAGAAAGGUGCCUCACUGCACCAGGAAGAGAAGAGCAUCCUUAUCGUGGGAGAUGGGCAAUCAAUACCAGAACGCACGUGCACGAACAACCUGCUAAAAUAAGCUUCAUCUUCCGGCAAACUGCACGUCAUUUAAACCUCUUUUGAUGACUCAGGCACGUCAUUACCAAGACGAGCAGCGCUAAUAAACUAUCUUGGGCUGUUUGGCCUCCCGGUGAAACUGCUGCCUCUGCUGUUGCUUUCUUGGGUCUCACAUCUGUUUAUUAGGCUCUCGCUACCUGACCUCACCUAUUCUGGAGCCUCUAAUCUGAUAAAUAAGAAACUGCUAAAUCGUAGGCUUCAUUUUAGACUCAUUUCCAGUGUGUGUGGUUGGAAGUUUCCAUUGGAAAUGGUGUCCCUGACAGCUGUUUUGUGUUCAGAGACAUUUUCCUGCUCAGUCUA